AGCCCUCUGGGCUCCUUGGUGAUUCAUGAUAACUUCUCGAAUCGCAAGGCCUUGCGCCGGCGAUGGUUCAUUCAAAUUUCUUCCCUAUCAACUUUCGAUGUUUGGGUAGUGGCCAAACAUGGUUGCAACGGGUAACGGAGGGUUAGGGCUCGACCCCGGAGAAGGAGCCUGAGAAACGGCUACUACAUCCAAGGAAGGCAGCAGGCGCGCAAAUUACCCAAUCCCGACACGGGGAGGUAGUGACAAUAAAUACCGAUACAGGGCUCUUUCGGGUCUUGUAAUUGGAAUGAGUACAAUUUAAAUCCCUUAACGAGGAACAAUUAGAGGGCAAGUCUGGUGCCAGCAGCCGCGGUAAUUCCAGCUCUAAUAGCGUAUAUUAAAGUUGUUGUGGUUAAAAAGCUCGUAGUUGAACCUCGGGCCCGGCCGGCCGGUCCGCCUCACCGCGUGCACUGGCCCGGCCGGGCCUUACCCCCCGCGGAACCCCGUGCCCUUCGCUGGGCGCGGCGGGGAAGCGGGACGUUUACUUUGAAAAAAUUAGAGUGCUCCAGGCAGGCCUAUGCUCGAAUACAUUAGCAUGGAAUAAUGGAAAUAGGAC
rnacentral:rRNA from 1 species